CGGACGUUCCGAUAUAAUUUUGUUUAAUAUUUCGUCUUGUUUUAGAACAAGACGAAAUAUUAAACAAAAUUAUACCGGAACGUCCG